rnacentral:lncRNA from 1 species
AUUGUAUUUAGCAUAGCAAUUCACGAAUUACAGCAAGCACAGCAGUCCAGGAAUUGCAGCAAGCACAACAGUCCACGAAUUGCAGCAAGCACACAAGCAAUGCCAAGAACUCAAGCAAGGCCUUUUACACCACCACUGUAUAACGUGAACCUAUGGGGAAUUCUUCUGAGUUUUGUUUCGGUGGUACGUGCGGGGACCUAUGCUUAGUAUUUAUACUAACUUAACCCUAAUGGAUCCUCCCACAAUGAUAUCCUUAGGAUUAGUUGUUGUACAAGGAUUAAACUACCAAACUCAGUCCAAAUAGGAUAGAAUCAAGUGCCCUUAUUCUCCAAGAUUAACCGGAAUUCUUACUUUACUUGGAGUCCAAGCUAUAGCAUAUUAACUAAACCCUAAUCCUACUUACAUUCCAUUACAAUCCUUAUUAAUUGUAAUGACCUAUUAGCCGUUGGAUUAGGGUCCAAUAUCCAACAUUCUCACCCUAGGUCAAAUAGUUAAUUCAGGAAAGAACUGCAAUGAAUCUGUAAGCAAGACCACUUUAUUUGCCAAUGGAUUCAGUUAAGCUAACAAUAGGUUACCUGCAUACAUUUGUAAAAAAAAAAAAAAAAAAGGUUUACUUACUCAGAACUAUCGGAGGCUAUGAACAAAGUAAUUAUUCAUAAGUUCUUAUAAUCACUGAAUAAGCUCUUUAUUUACAUGAAACAAUUGAUCACAGACUUGGUACAUAAGUGAGAAACAAAACCACAAGCCAAGAGUAUUGACUCUAUCACUUCCAGGUCAACUUUAUCAGCCUCACACCAGACUGCUCUUGAACCAUAACAACAGCUUAAGCAACCUUAUAUAAAAAUCUCAGUUUUCAUGUCAAAUAACCUGAUGACAUAAACCAUUUCCAGCUAUAAACCUUAGUUGCUGCAAUGUUGUUGUGAAUACACACCAAUUGUUUAUAACAUUUUAGCAAUUUUUACAACAUACAGGGAAUAUAACCAUACUAAAACAAUGUAAUUGAAGACUGAAUAGCAUCCCUUUGUUAAAACCUUCAAUUCAAACAAAAGCAAGUAACUAACAAACUUAAAACAAACUUUGGCAACAACUAACAUUCAAAAUUAAAAGUACUUAACAACACUCCCACUAAUUCAACAUAUCUAGGGUUCCAGUCACUGCCAUAUUGGUUGCAUGCUUGUGAAAAAACUGCAUUACGCAACACCUUAAUGAGUAAAUCAGCAAACAUUGGGUGUGUAUCAAUAUAAUCAACCUUGAUCUCAGUGGACUUCACCUUCUUUCUGGUCAAAAUAUACUUGGCAAAUGUCUGGUUCUAGGAAACAUUUUAGGGCAUGUUUGGUAUCCUGCCAUAACACUUUGAUUGUUCCUAAAAAUAAUUUUCAAAUAACAUCACUUAAAAACAAUUUUCUUUUAAAUCUCAAAAUUUUAAAAAUCUAUUUGAUAGAAUUUUAAAAAAAUUAUUAUUUUUUAGUUUGAAUUCAAACUACCUUGAGCAUAAAUUGGAGGAGAGAGAGAAUUGGGAAAGAGAAAAGAGAGAGGAAACAAUUGGUGAGGAGAGAGAAAGACAGGAAGAGGGCGAGGAGGUGAGGGAGAGCAGAAAAUUAGGGUGAGAAGGUGAAGGGAGGGAGGGAGAGAGAGAGAGAGAGAGAGAGAGAGAGAGAGAGAGAGAGAGAGAGAGAGAGAGAGAGAGAAGAUAAAGGCUGAGGAGAGAGAGAAGAUAGGGUGUGACGAGAGGAGAGAAGAAAGAGAGGGUUGGGAGAGGUAAAAGAGAGGGUUAGGAGAGAGCAAAAAAAUAUGUUGGAAGAGACCAGAAAAACUCACUUUUAGUGUUUUAAGAAAUAACCUAUGUUUUUAAGUUAGUUUUUAAUCCAAUUUUUAAAAAGAAUCCUAUCAAACAAAGAAUUCAAAGACUAAAACUAAAAAAGUGUUUUUGAGUUAAAAAAGUUGAACUCAAGUAGGAUACCAAACAAGCCCUUAUUGUUCUCGUAAUAAAAGACAACAACCUUAUUGUCACACUAAAUUUGCACUUAUCUUGAUAUAGAAUCCAUGAUCUCAAGACUGCUUAUAAAAUUCCUCAGCCACAUUGUGAAGUGGCUUCAUAACAAUUUACAAAUUUAACUUGCAUAGUGGAAGUGGCAACUAUAUCUUGUUUCACACUCUUCCAUGACACCGCCCCUUUCAAAUUGCUUUGGUAUUUUUAAAUUGCUUUGAUAUUUUUAAUGUGCUUUAGAAUUUUCUAAAUACCAUGGCUAUUGUAGCAAGUUUUUUUAGUAGCUUAAAAUUAUCAAACUAACUUUUUUUCUUAACGGGUUACUCUCUGGUAAACCUGUGUUCUUAACGUGUGACCCGACAAUAAUCCGAUUAGUUAAUGUGUUGACCUAAAUCCUGUAAUCUUUGUGUCGUUUCGGAUCAAGUUAACAAGUCGUGUAAGAAAUUGCUAGGUCUAAUAAUAUUGUGGUCAACAAGUAGCUGUACUACUAGAAUUUUGGUGAAACAAGUAGCCAAUUUAUUAUUAUAGAUGAGACUAAUUAGGAUCAAGUUGAAACUGGGGUAAUACUACCAUACAGAAAGAGAUUUGUAAUGGCCAGCUAACAAGAUACGGAGGCUGUUCCGUAGUUCAAUCAAUAACUAGUUUGUACGGUCAAAAGGUCGGUUGGAUAUAAUUUAUAUUCAUUCGGGUUAUAUGAUUGAAAUUUGAUCACUCGGGUCUAAUCAAUUUUUCUGGUCUUGCUCUACUAAACUAAUAACCGACCAAAAUGAUUAAUUUGCAAGUAUAUAAAUACAAAUUGAAUACAUGCUUGAAACAUUCGUCUGUUUUUCAUUAUUAACAUAAGAAACACGUUUAUUUUUAUUUUAUUUUUCUGAAAUCGAUUGAAAUUGUGUAUUUCAAAUUUUGAUUAAUUGUAGAAAUGGAACGCAUUCGACAAACAACAAAUAAUAAUCAAAAUAAAAUACUCACGAUACAUUGGUUGAUAUCGAUCGAAUACUACAAAGCGAUUAUUUCAGCAAUGACGAGUUUUUUUUUUACAAAAAAAAAAAAAUCAUAUUAUCUACACUA